AGACCACAUGAUUAUAUGUUAAGCCUUGCGGACGGGCGGGUCGGUUGCCGA
rnacentral:sRNA from 12 species